rnacentral:misc_RNA from 1 species
AGAUGAAAUCCUUCGUGUGCAUCGCUCUGGUCGCCUUCGCCGCCGCCGCUCUGGCUUCGCCACCAACGUGGCCUUCGGCCACCGGCUCCACUGGCUCCUCGGUGACCACCCAGGACGGAGAGCUGGAGGGAGUGACCGGACAGGGAUUCGGUGACCUGACCCGUCUCCGUAAGUCUGCCUACGGCGGCAGCUCCGGCGGCUAUGGCGGCUCCAGCAUCCCAGCUCCUCCCUGCCCCAAGAACUACCUGUUCAGCUGCCAGCCCAACCUUGCCCCCGUGCCAUGCAGCGCUCCAGCUCCCAGCUACGGAUCC